rnacentral:lncRNA from 1 species
UAAGUGCAUCCUUUCCUAGAACUGCAGCCUUGUAGACAGUCUAGUCUACCACACAGGCAAAAUGGUUCAGACUGGUGCUUCUCAGAUUGUUGUCAAGACACAGCUGUAGGARGGUUGAAAUUGUUCAACCCUAAUUACAGCUGGCUCUGACAUCCCCAUGCUGGAGGAAGUGAAAUGCAGCAUCUCUGAGAAGGAGUGUUGGAGGUGGUGACAUCUGAAGAUUGAGGAGCUCAAGAGUGAGUAAACAGCAGUUCAGACCUAAAUUAAGCAUGUAUAAUUAUCCCCUGCCUUUUUUUUUUUCUUCCUCUGGUUUAGAAUGUUCAAGCUCAUACUUGGACAUCUUUCAGGAAGUUAAACCAGGAGUUCUUUGUAGAGAUGUUGUAGGUAACUUGAAAGUACAGCCAUUGAAAAGAGAAGGCAAAGGAUGGUAGAGAAAUUAUACCCAUUGUAGCAAUAGUCUCUAGAAUGUCAAGAAGAUGUGACCAAAGUCGUUUUCCUGCCAAAGAAAAAUGCAGAGGAGUUGCUUGUCUUAAAGAUAUCUAGGCCUGCAGGUUAUAUCUCGAAGUAGAUAGUUGAACCUUAGCAUAGCUGACUUUUAUAGAGAGACUUAAAAAUCAUAAAAGAUACCAGAGACAUAAGGAAGAAAGUGGAUACACGUAAAUGCUGCAAUGUGUGAUUCUUAUUCCUGUGUUAUAUUUUAAAAAAUGUAAUAGAAGUAAAAAAUGUGCAGAGAAAGGCAACAGGGUGCCUCUGACCAAAAGUGAGGAAUAAUUUCUAUAUCAAGAACUAUGUAAGGUCAGACUUCUCAGUCUGGAAAAGAAAUGACAGAUAGAUUUAUUUUAUGUUCCUUCCUCCUUUUCUAUCCUGUAAUCUGAAUGGCAUAGAAAAGGCAGAUAGCCAUUAUUUACCGUUUCUUACAAGUCAAAACUAGGAAGUGUCAGAUAAGGUGGCAAGUUCCAAAAGAGUAAAAAAAAAAAAAAAAAAAAAAAAAAAAAAAAAAAAAAAAAAAAAAAAAAAAAAAAAAAAAAAAAAAAAAAAAAAGCAGACAAGCCUUAUGUUCAGCACAGAGUUAGUAAUUUGAUUACAUAUAAAUGCACAUAGCACAUAUGUGUAUAUCAUUCUCUAUGUAUACAUACUCAUAUGCACAGAGAAAAAGAGAAAGGAGAGGCUACUUCAUAUCAUKAAGGUAAGCUGUGAAACUCCUUGUUGCAACACGUUGUGGAUGUUAAAAUUCUGCUUUGGUUAAAAAAGUAAUUGGAAAAAUUCAUAAUGGAAAAGUCACUCUAGCUUAGUUAAACACAAGCUCAGAAAGUUCCUGAGCU